CGAGAGGAGAGGCAGCUUCAGCUCUACAUGUAAAGUUGAAAUUUAUUGACACCAUGGCCUCAUCUGAUGAUGAUACCAUAGAGACUGCAGCCCUGGGAAGACCAUUCCAGCUUGGCACACUGUAUGACUGCCGGAAGGAUGUUCUUGUUCCAGGUGUAACUCUGUGGGAUCCAGAUCAGCUACAAAAGAAUACAAGUGUAACACGUCAACAUAACACUGAAUUCAAUGUCACCGCAUCAGAUUCCAUUGAGGAGAAGUCAAAUUUAUUAAACAUCUCUGGCUCUCUGAAGUUGAGUCUCUUGGGAGGACUGGUGAAUGUGGGAGGAUCGGCAAAAUAUUUCCAAGACACAAAGAAAUCUCACAA